CAACAUUUUUGCCUUCCUGACCUCCUUGCAAUCCUGCCAGGACACAUCAUAAGACAAGAAAGAGAAAAUCUGAAACCUGUCAUGGAUUAUUUGGCUAAGGCGUAUCAACUGCCACAACAACGGGUAUAGAAGAAAGGAAGCGUGAUGGAAGGAAAGGACUGGAUGAAUCAGAAAUCUGCAUUAGGGGAAAAUGCUGGACUGCUUUGAGACCUUCUCUAGCACACGGAGAUAUGGUGACUUUUGAGGCUCUGCUGCUGCUGCUGCUACUGCUAAGUCACUUUAGUCGUGUCCGACUCUGUGCAACCC
ensembl:lncRNA